GAUUAACGCUGGCGGCGUGCAUAACACAUGCAAGUCUAACGAAGUGGCGGACGGGUGAGUAACGCGUGAGUACCCUGCCUUAGAGCAGGGGAUAUCCUACGGAAACGAAGAAUAAUACCCAAUACCCUAAGAUGGACUUGCGUCGGAUUGGUUAGUUGGUGAGGUAACGGCCAACCAAGACAGCGAUCAGUAGCCGGCUGGAGAGAGUGUACGGCCACAGUGGGAGUGAGACAAGGCCCAGACGCGACGGGAGGCAGCAGUGGGGAAUUUAGCACAAUGGGGGAAACCCUGAUGCAGCGACGCCGCGUGAUUUAGAAGGCCUUCGGGUUGUAAAAAUCUUUUCUAUGGGAAGCAGUACCAUAGGAAUAAGUACCGGCUAAUUACGUGCCAGCAGCCGCGGUAAUAC
rnacentral:rRNA from 1 species